rnacentral:rRNA from 1 species
AGCGAACGCUGGCGGCAGGCCUAACACAUGCAAGUCGAGCGCCCCGCAAGGGGAGCGGCAGACGGGAGAGUAACACGUGGGAACGUACCCUUCAGUUCGGAACAACCCAGGGAAACUUGGGCUAAUACCGAAUACGUCCGUAAGGAGAAAGAUUUAUCGCUGAAGGAUCGGCCCGCGUCUGAUUAGCUAGUUGGUGAGGUAACGGCUCACCAAGGCGACGAUCAGUAGCUGGUCUGAGAGGAUGAUCAGCCUCACUGGGACUGAGACACGGCCCAGACUCCUACGGGAGGCAGCAGUGGGGAAUAUUGGACAAUGGGCGCAAGCCUGAUCCAGCCAUGCCGCGUGGAUGAUGAAGGCCCUAGGGUUGUAAAGUCCUUUCGGCGGGGAAGAUAAUGACGGUACCCGCAGAAGAGGCCCCGGCUAACUUCGUGCCAGCAGCCGCAGUAAAAC